rnacentral:tRNA from 1 species
GCUCAAGUAGCUUAAACAAAAGCAUUACAUUGAAGCCGUAAAUAUGAUUUUACAUCCGUGAGCA